rnacentral:rRNA from 1 species
GUUCUCAGUUCGGAUUGUAGGCUGCAACUCGCCUACAUGAAGUCGGAAUCGCUAGUAAUCGCGGAUCAGCAUGCCGCGGUGAAUACGUUCCCGGGCCUUGUACACACCGCCCGUCACACCAUGAGAGUUUGUAACACCCAAAGCCGGUGGGGUAACCUUUUUGGAGCCAGCCGUCUAAGGUGGGACAGAUGAUUGGGGGUGAAGUCGUAACAAGGUAAC